UGGAUCCCCCCUGGAGAAGGUCGGGUCGCGCGCGGAUAGGCCUUAAACGGCGUCGUUUUGGCGCUUGGGUUCCCAACCCAAAACGGCUCCGUUUUGCUUCCUUAUUUAAAUCUAAUUUUUUUUCUAAAAUUUUUAUUUUUCUCUUUUCUCAAAAAAAAAUCCCAAAAUUCUCUUAACCCUCUCUUCCCCUCCGAGCUCUGGCCAAAGAUCCGGCCAUCGGCCUUCGCCGGCAUCCGCGGUGGCCGGAAAAAACCAAAAAUAAUCCCUUUCGAUGCCCUUCACACGUGGAGUAAGGAUCCGAGGCCAAAACCCCCGAAAACCUGGCCAAACCCGGUGAAGCAACGAAGAAACGUUUCGUUUCUUUUCCUUUUCCGGCGUGGCCGUCGACAGCGAGUAGAUCAGCCGACGUAGGUGUUGACUGAGGCGUAAAAGAGGUGCCCUUGUCAUGGAGCGGUGACGUGACCGAAGGAUAGCGGCGGCACAUGGGUAAGGGUCAGAAGACCCUAGGUGCGGCGCACCUAGGGUUUGCUUAAUUGUUGUUUUCUGUUAUAAGGCUGAUUGGGCUUAUUAGGGUUAGGUUUAGGUUUGGUUUGGGUUUGGGUUUGUGGUAUUGGUUGGUUUGAGUUUGGGUUGGGUAUUGUUGUUUGGGUUUUGGGUUGGGUAUGCCGCAAUCAGUGUAGUGGAACAUGAUCAAGAUAGGAUUUGUCUCUCAUACAUAAUGAGAGCAAUAUCUUAGUCCCUUAAUUGAAUAUGACUAGAAGUGCAUGACUAUACUCAAAAGAGUUAAUAUGAGAUAUCAUUCACAUUUGUUUAUCUUAGUCUACUUGGGAAUUAAGAAACAAGAGAAUGGAAUGUACAAGUUUGGUUGUUAUGUUAAACCGUGACUUCUUGCAACUUAGGUAGCAGUGAUGCAUUAUUAGAUGUCACUCACUAUUUGUAAAAUUAGAAUUGUUUUAAUGUUACUAUCAACGUUGUAGAAUCCUAUAGGGUCACACCCUAUGGUUGAAGCGUUCUGAAUCUAAAGAAAGUUGUGAUUAUAUUUAACUA